UACGAAGGGGGCUAGCGUUGCUCGGAUUGACUGGGCGUAAAGGGCGCGUAGGCGGUUCGUACAGUCAGACGUGAAAUUCCUGGGCUCAACCUGGGGGCUGCGUUUGAUACGUGCGGACUUGAGUGCGGAAGAGGGUCGUGGAAUUCCCAGUGUAGAGGUGAAAUUCGUAGAUAUGGGGAGGAACACCGGUGGCGAAGGCGGCCACCUGGACGGUAACUGACGCUGAGACGCGAAAGCGUGGGUAGCAAACAGG
rnacentral:rRNA from 1 species